UACGUAGGUGACAAGCGUUGUCCGGAUUUACUGGGCGUAAAGAGCGCGCAGGCGGUCGUUCAAGUCGAGUGUGAAAGCCCCCGGCUCAACUGGGGAGGGUCACUCGAUACUGAUCGACUUGAAGGCAGGAGAGGGAAGCGGAAUUCCCGGUGUAGUGGUGAAAUGCGUAGAUAUCGGGAGGAACACCAGUGGCGAAAGCAGCUCUCUGGGACGGUACUGACGCUGAGACGCGAAAGCGUGGGGAGCGAACAGG
rnacentral:rRNA from 1 species